GCGGCGUUCCACGGAGCGAAACGUGUCUCGCUCGUUUUCGGGGAGAGGGGAAUGAAACCCCACGCUUUCUGAGGCGGGACCCCGUUGCGGAGUGCCAAGCCUGGGUAUCCCUGGAAAUCUUUUGUUCAGAGCGGAUGCUGCCGAGGAACUGUGCAAAGCUGAGUGAUCAUGGAUGACCGAGAUAUGUUCUGCGCAUUUAUGAUACAUCCCCAAAGCAGCUUCUUUUCUAUUUUAAAGCUUUACCCUGCGUCUUGCAGAGAUACUCAUUGGUUUUUAAACAAUGGAAUCUAGGUCUUUCUUCCUUACUGCUUGUUGGUAACUUGUGGUUCCAGAAAAACCGCUGGUGUUGUAAGAGUUGGGACGGAAUUGCAAAAGCCAACAAUACUGACUGAAGGGCCUGAAAAAGUGACACACGGUGCCAGUAAACCAGCCCCCACAGACACCAUUAAAAAGAUUUGCCUUUGCCAUUAGUUCACGUUACUAGUAGCUGUCCAAACUUGGGGUGUUUUGCUACAAUUGCUCAGUGAUGAGCAAAAUCUGAUUGCUGCCGCUUGGGAAAGCUUUGCGAGAUACCUUACCCAGCUCUUUUCAUUUUUUUGUUUGUUAGUGCUUCAGCUGGCAUCGAGGAGCCUUGGACGGGGCGUGAACAGCACUUAGUGCUCAUGUGUAAUAGCAGGGGAUUUCAUUGCAGCCCUUAACUACAACAUCUGAAAUGAGACAAAUACAGUCUUGUGGUGAGAUCCACACCCCCAUUUUCAAGACUGACAGUAAAGUAGCAUGUGUACCACUUGCCAAAUAUUAUCAAAGAUUUUCUAUUAUUCUCAAAUCUUAUCACCAAGACUUGUAUUUUUUUUUCUUGGAACGUAGCUAUAGUUUAGACAUCAUGUUGCUCAAGAGCUUGCUGCAGCCCUUAGAGAAGGAUCCACAGAGUUUGUCCUAGAAGGUCAUAAAGAUCCCUCCUGGCUUUGCCAGAGAUCCCCCCUCUACUGCCCUCACUUGUCACAGGGAGCUUCUAUUCUAAACCAACUACCAAGAAUUGCAGUUCAUUAGGAAAACUUAUCCAAGGCUACGGCUUCUCCAUGUGGAAUAGGAAUUCAAGGAAUUAAUCCCAUGCAAUCUUAGUUAAAUCUGAAUUAAUUAGUAUAAUUCCUAGGAAAAGUGUGGGGUUUGUGUUAUUUCUUUUCUCUCUUUUAAGAGCUGCAGUAUUGUGUUCUGAGUGUAUUUUAACUCAAGAGAGGAUGUGACAAUUUUCAGCAAAGGUUGUGGUCUCUCUAGAUCCAAGAAGGGAGGAAGCAAUAUCAUGACAGACAUAUAUGCAAAACAUGAAAUACCACUGUACUGGUAAGGAUUACUGAGUUACAGAAAUUAGGAGGUGCCAUUUCCUCAGGUGUUCUUUAGCAAUGCCUGUGAAUGUUUAUAGACCAGGAACAGGAGGUGUGACAGAAAUAACCUGUGAAAUUUCCUUAACCCUCAACAGACAUGCAAGACAGCCCGAAGGGGGAAAUAAUUUAGUCCAAAAGUAGAAAAUAUUGACUCAGGGAGAAUAGCUUAUUCUUCUAGCUCAUGCAACAGUGUGCUCUCGCUUCCUUCACAUUCCUAUUCACUGUUUGAAUAGAACAUUUUUUUCUUGUAGUAUUUAUUAUGCAAUACUAUUUGCAGAGUAGGGAUAGAGGGUGCUAUCCCAGGGAAGCCUGCAGGGAAAGGAAGGGUGGAGCUCUGGCCGUACCUUUACAGUAAGAUGGUGUGAGGCCACGUUCGGCUGAGACACUUCCAAAGGAAUUAGCUUCCCUUAAAGGAAGGAGUGUGGAUAUCCAUGCAGACUAAUUUCUUCUGCUUCUGGCUCAGAUCUCACUGAGGCAAGUCUACACAAUGCAGAUCAAGUUGUUUGCUGUUCUGUUCUCCUGCUGAAGAACUUGCAAAAUGAAAAAAAAAAAAAAAAAGAAAAUAAAACUCAAGUGCUAGUUGAGACCCUUGUAUAUAUAUUAUUCUCGACAGAAGGAGUGAUUUUAGAAUUUAGAUAUACUUGCUAUAAGAAUUUCCAGUCUGGUAGAAAUAAUGGAGGAUCUCACUGGUUUUGGAGGACUUAAUUAUAAGAAAGUUGAAUUCAGUUCCUCAAAAUGUAACAUUUACAAAGUUGCUGAUUAUUGUCAACUGCCCACACAAUGCAGAUUCCUGUAAAUGCUGCUCUUGUUCCACAUGCAGCUUUUUGACCUCUUGUUCUGUAAACUGAACUCAAAAGGCAGGUUUUUCCAUCUUUGAAUAGAGCCCCACUGCUUUUUUUUGGUAAUAUAUAUUUAAGGUGGUGGACACAUUAGAAGACAUUAAUUAAGCACAUAAAUAUUUGCGGUGCAUUUUUCAGAGCCAACAUAAUUUUGUUACUAAACAACUAAUUUCAAUAGCAUACAAACUCAAUUGUUUGCUUUUGGUUUGGGUUUUUUUAGUUUCAGUUUGAUUUUUGUCUUUAAUCUCAGCAGAGUUACGUUGGCAAUUACAUUCUGCUCUUCUUGGCUGGUUCUUCUUUACUGACCUCAAGCUAGGGACAAAAUGUGACUGUGUCAGGCUACUCCGAGCAUGUGAUACAGUGUGAACUAAAGAGUGUAUGCCAGAGGUCCGUGUCUUUCCCUUCUGCCUCUUAGUGACAGUCUAGAGGGCUCGGCCAUCCAAUCCUGCACUUCCUUACAGAUGUGGGAUCCUUGGGCUCCCCCAGGAGGGACAGAAGGCACGUAUUUGGAGCUAGGCUGGAACAGGUGGAGUUGUGAAGUGUCCAGGGCACCAGGGUAACGAGUCACGCUGCCACUUGCACCCUUUUGCCUACUGGGAAGAUGAGUGGUAUGUGCUCUGUGCCUGUGUCCGCACAAGUGGAUAAACUCCGUUGCUCUGGUGCAGGGAGCCAGCACAAACAGAUUGUGACCUUGGCUGCCAGUGCCCUCACAUUUCUAUAGGUCAUCUGCAGCACCCUUUGUGGGCUGGAAACCUUUCUGGAGAUCUUUCUGUAGAUUCCCGAGGAGGGCAGGAUUGCAGUGACCCAUUCUGUGUUCUGUCUCCUACGUUUGUUUUGGCACAUGCCAAAGAGUACCCUGUCACAUGACAGUACCCUGUCACCCUUUGGCAAGAACCAUUUUAUUGUGAAGCCAUGACUGCAGUGAUGCAAUGAAUGUUUCACAGGAUAUGUUUUACUUCUGACCUGGUAUUAGACAAUCGUUUUCCCUGAAUGAUUUUAUAUUUAGAAUCACUCUCUCAGUGUUCAAACACUGAGUAAUCAUUGUUGCAGUUGCUGUCUUUCUGGUGGACAAUAAAUAAAUAAUAAAAAUAAAUUCAUGUUUUGAAGACAGCUAAUACUAAGUGCUUUGAAAAGCAGUUAUCAAGCCAGUAAAUCUUUACAAGAGUCAUAGAAGCACACAAUGGCUUAGGUUGGAAGGGAUGUCGAAGAUCAUCUCAUGAUAAUCCCCCUGCCAAUGACCAGGUACACUUUUCACUAGACCAGGUUGCUCAAAGCCCUAUUAUUCAAAUCAAAAUGGGGAAAUCAGAAAAAAACACCCUACAAGAGUUUUGUGUAGAUAAAAGUAAAUAUUCUUGGGAAUUAAAAUAAAUAAUUCAGAGACUAUAAAUAUUCAUUAGUAGUAUAGUAGGUACUCCAUGCUUCAAAAUCCUUAACUGAGAUACUUGGUCUUCAAGCUUCCAUAAAAAAUUAUGGCAACUUACUGCAAAAUAUACUCCUGAAACUAUACACUGCAUUGAAGGCACACAUUAAAAAAGAGUUAGCUUUCUACUGUUUUCAUAACAACUGUAUUUCGCUAGCUUUUUUUUUUUUUUAAAUCAAAUGAGCUAAUCUAAUUAGUGCUCCAUAAGAUGAUGAUAGGGCCAAUUCUCAUAGGCUCAUUCUGUACUUUAACCUUAAGUUAGCAGAGGCAAGGUAACUGCCGGUCAUAAAGGACAUCUUUUCACUUUUUUUUUUUGCACUGCACAGUGGAUAUUUCCAAAAAUAGGCUUUUGUGAAAUUGCUGCAUACAGUAAUAGGAUUGUAUAUUGCUCUAAAUACUGAUACUUGAUAGUUUUUUGCCUCUACAUCCUAGUUGGAAGUUGAAAAUUUAGUGAUGUACAUUCCAGGCUCUGGUUUCCAUAUGUAGUGAAGAUAUUGAAACCAAAAAGCAGCAGUGGAGCUACAUGAAGACCCUGAAACUGUUGCUACAAUGGAUUUAAAUUCUGUUAAUCCUGCACAAACCUGAGCUCUUGCAUCGUGCAGAAGAACUGAAGCAAAGGAAUGGAAUAUAAAGUUUCAAGUGGAGGAUGCCAUAUAUCUAUAGGGAGUACAGAAGGACAGUUUUUAUUAAAGCAUACUGUCAAAUAUAUGUUCUACUAAGAAAAUACAUACUUAGUAAAAAAAUGUAUCCCAUCUUUUUGGUGUUCUGUUUUCAUUGGUGAUGGCAUACUGAAUUACUGUGCAACACCCUCAGAUAGGAAUUGAGAAUUCAGUACCCAUUAUUAUAAAGCACUCUAGUAAUUUACUCUAGCUAAUUGGAUGCCCUCAGGAACUGUACAUUUGUCUAUGAACAUCAAAGGGUUUUUAUGUAUUAUCUCUAUGAAACUUCUUGUGAAAAUGUAAUGCCUAUGGCAUUUUGUUCACAGAUAUGGAGGUGGGCCUAGAGCAGCUAAAUUACAGGCCAAUGGUAAUGUAGGAAGUGCUUAGCAGAGCAGAGGUAAAGCACAGCUUUCUCUGAGGUCGAAAGGCAUUGUUUUCCUUGGCCACUGCCUUUCUCAGGAAUCAGUAACUGCAUUCCUGUUACCCUCAGAGAGGACAGGACUGAGUAAGCUGGUAAUAACUGGCAGAGGCAGGAUCCCACAGGGUAAGUAGAUCUAGCCUCACACAGAUUCUAAAGGAUGAUGUUUUUACCGCUACCAUCAUGAUCCUGGCCAUGCACUUUCUGCUUGUUCUGCAAAGGGUCUGGUUUUUACUGGAUCCUUUCUUGAGUCCUCUGAGCUCAUUAAUAUGGCAGAAAACAUACCCAGACAAAAUAAAAGUGGAUUGUUCUCUGCCAAGAAGCUGAAUUGACUCACUUGCUGUAAUGAGUGCCAGAGCUGGUGGAAAAGCAGAGCUUACCACAGCAAGGAGCAUGGGAAAGGUUAAGAAUAAGUAGGAGAUGAUGUGGAGGAGACUGGGGACAGCAUGAAAUAUUCAGCAGCUGCAACCUCUUAGAUUGCCUCAGCUGCUGACAAACCUUCAGCUCCCAUAUCAUCAAAUCAAAUGUUAGCCUUCUGCAUUAUUGCAGAUGCAAUAUAAUGCAAUAUAAUGGCUGCAUUAUUAUAAUGAAGACUAGACUGUACUGUCUGCUUUUGAGAACAACUUUAAUACAUUGAUGUUUUCAAUUUUACAUCACAAAACAAGUGUAUUUCUCAUAAAACCGACAGGAGAACUCAGCUACAUUGAGGUCUUCUGGAGAUUCUUUAUGCUCCACUUAUACCAGAAGGCAAAAUGGUGUUAGUUACCUGCAGGUGGAGUUCUGGGGGACUCUCAGUAAUGUACAGACAGCUGCUGAGAGUGUUUGCUUGGCCCUGGGAAGAGAAAAUCUAGUGGACAUCUCACUGCUGCCUAUAACUUUACCUAGUUGUAGAGUAUAGAGGAGAUGAAUCUCUUGGAAUAUCAGUGAGCAUCUUGUUGUAUGUAAAGCACCCAGUUUUUGUAUGCUUUUGUUAUUAAUGCUGGUUUACAGUUCAUUUUCUUAUCUCAUUGCUGUUCCCAGUAAAUCUUAACCUGUAAUCUCUGCCUUUUGUCUCUCUUGGUGGAGUUGGGGAGGGGAGUGUCUUGUGGUUUUCUUUACAGUGGGAAUACUAAAUUGAGGAAUAGUAUUCCUAACCCAUGACAGCUGGAAAAUACACCUCACCAAGAACACUGAAAUGAACACCAGUCUUGCUGAGCUUCAUAGAAGAUGCUUUGCUGUGUUUUAUUGAGAAUUGAAUUGCAUUUGAAAUGAAUCUGGGAGAUAUUGCAUAUAUUUCUUUCUGUGGUUGCCAAAGCAGAACCUCAAAGCUGUGCUAAUGGAGAAAGAAAGUAACAACCCUGCUCUAGAAAGAAGAAACUCUCAGAUGUAAUCUACUAAAAUAAACUCCCAACAAAACACAUAGAGGAAGAUAAUGAAGCUAUCAAUGAAACUGCCCAAGAGAAAAAGGCUCUUUAGUAGUAGAGGAUAACUGAGUUUGUGAGGUAAACUCAAAAGUAUUCUGGGGAAAGUAUGGGAAAGCUGUGACAUAUCUAGUAGAUAUCAUUAAGGCAGAAAGCCCUGUCACCCAAAGGGAAAGUGGCUAUGUGGACUGACUUUCAAUGACUGGAUUUGACAUUUUGAUGAUUUAUUGUUUGCUUUCUGAGCAUCUGCUGAGACUACAUAUUUUAAGCAAUACUUAGGAAAGCUGAUGUAAGAAUGCACUUUCCUGGUGCACUGGUGGAGGAGCAUGACACACAAAAAGAAGAUGCUUUUCUGAAACAGUGACCAGUUCAGCUCUUCUUGCUCCAGUCCUGGAAAGUGAGGAUGAACUCUGACCAUGCUGUCCUCAUCCAGCACAGACACCAGGCCUGUGUCAGUCCUGGAAACCCAGGAUAACGCUGGGGUUAACGCUGCCUCUGUCUGACCCAGCUGGUUUACAGCCAAACCUGCUGGGCAGGAUGCUGGAGCAGAGGUGAAGAUAAGGUGUCUUUCCCUGGGAUGGCCAUAAGGUAACACUUCAGUGGGAGCAUUGGAGGCAAGCUGAGUGGUCAGGUUUGCAUUCUGGAUUCUAAAGCACAGACACUUGUGCAGCAGGAGGUAUUUCUUACAGGCUUGUAUUUGCAGAUGGCUCCACCUCUGCUAUCACUUAUGGCUAUUUCAAUAGUUAUUGUGGAGUUCUAUACAUGGUCAAAUUAUUUUGAAUUUAUACAUUGUCUGAAUGGUUUCCCAACAGCAGGUUCCUGUUUGUCUUCAAUGUACCUCAAAACAGUUUCCUGCCCGGGUUUCCUGAGGUGAGCUCCUGAUAACUGCGGCACAGGGCCUUUGACAUUUCAAUCUGCCUAUCAGAGGUUUGUUAACAGAAUGUAUGUCAAUCUUCGUAUUGCAACUCCGUGUUAUCAACUUCUAAUUGCAGUAAUGCUCUUGGUCCAUUAUCAGAAGAGCUUACUCAUAACUCUUUCCAGGUUACAGUGCUCUUCUGCAGGAACAGAAGCUUCUUAGGGGCAGAGUUAGAGCUGGGGUGGAAACUGUUCCUGCUGCCUUAUUUCUGAGUCAUCCCUGUGAGGACAUUAAGUUCUAGAAGCUACAUUGAUUCUUCUAUGCAGUUUAACAAGAUUCUAAUGAAUACAAAAGAAUGAUUUGUCCAUAUAUACUCGUUAUUGAGGAUAUUAGGACAAAAUGUAAUAGGGGCAUAGAUAGAAUCAUAAGGUGAAGAAUGUCAGUAUAGUACUGGUAAAAUUAAUGUAUUUAUUGCAGAAGUAGAAAAAUUACCUUUCUAAUAACAUAAGUUUCCUGUUAUUCCAAGAUAAAUUUAUAUCUGGCUGUUCGUUCUGUAUGAAAUUAUAUUUUUGGUAUAAUAAUACAAAGAAAUUAAAGUACUAACUUUAGCCUCUUUUAUACAUUUGUUUCUACAGAGACUCAGCCUGAGGCAACAUCAGUGUUUCAUAUGCUCAGUGUUUCAUAUGCUAUGUAUGUAGUUCAUUCUUUCUGUUCUAUGGAGAAAUAAUUAUCUAGCUAAUGAGCAAGACACUGCACAGUGAAUGCACCACAGCUAAAUGCUUCAAAAAUACUUUAGGAAAAUUCUUGCUCCCCCUGCAGUCAAAGGAAGCUUUUGCAGUGAAUUUAAGAAGGAUCACAGACCAGCUGAGGCAAGAAGGCACCUGUGAAUAUCAUCUGGUCCAAAUUUCUGCUCAAAGACAAGUCUGUGAGAGCAGGUUGCUCAGGACGGUGUCCAUUUGGUUUUGAGUAUCUUCAAGGCUGGAGCAGAGUGGAAGGAUCAGCUCUCUCAAAGUGUAGACAAUGCUCUGGCUAAUGCAGCACAAGAUAACAUUGGCCUUCUUUCUACAAUGACACAUUGCUGACUCAUAAUUUAUAUUUUUAUAUGCUCUUAUUUCUAUUGUCUAUGUCCCAGUCUUUCUGAAUAUGUAUAUAUAUCUUCCAUAAAUCCCCUAAAUACCACACCAAAUAUAUACUUUUGAUUAACUCCCUGAGUUCCAUCUUGAAGUAAAUAUGUUUGUUUUCUUCAGAAACCACACCGAAUCAAUUUUUCUGAAAUUGUUUUCCUCUUAUUCAUGUAACUAAAUAACAUUUCCCUACCAGUCUCCCUGGCAAAAUCUGGGUUGCAGCCUCUAACUGAAAGAGCUUCCCUGGUUCUCCAUGCCUGUUUAAUUGCUCAAUUUAAUGUUUUUCUGUCCCUUUCCUGUAACUAUCUCUUUCAAAAAAAUCAACUCAGUGACCCUUUGCUUUCAAUCUGCUUUUCAGAAAGCUUUCCAUUACAACAUUCCUCCUCUCUUCCUUUGGCAGGUCUUAUGCCCCUGGAUAAUGCUCAACAGCAGCAAACUGUGCUGAACAUCAUUUCUUAGCAGAUGGAACUAGUGAUUUGUCCACACUUGAUCCAGACCCUCACAUUUUCUGUUUUUCCCGUUUUUCUUCACUCAUGGCAUGGUUAGCCAGAAUUGCCUAACUCAAAAAAACCCCCCGUGGGCAGUGAUGGCUUCUGGUUUUCAUGGACCAAAGUGCAGGAGGGUUGUCUGUCAUUAUUUUCUUAAAAGUACUCAGCAGAUCUAUUGCUUAUUCUGUUGCUACUUUCUGACAAAAUUUUCAAAUGAAUGUUACUGACACGGAAUUUAGAAUAGCUGUAAAAGCUGACUGCUGGAAAGAUGGAAGAGUAAGGAAGUGAGGAAUGUAGAAAUCAGAGUCAAAUUAAGAGCCAGUACUUGAGGGAAAAAACCCCAUGAAAAACACCCAAUUAUCAUGGGAUGGCUCUACCUAGAAAUUACAGACGUUGCCAAUGCACCUAAAGAAACCAGAUCACUGUAACACUUCUUGGAUUUCUGCAAUUUUUAAUUGUAUUUUGAUACACUAACAAAAAAAAAAAUCCCUUCUUAGUAACCUGAUUGCCUUCAAUUUUAUUGUUACACAGAUGUGUAGUAAAAGAACAAAAAAACCUAAAAAAGAAAGCCCUUAUCUAUUGCUCAGUACUGUUUUACAGAUAAAAGCUCUUUGAAAGACUGUAAAGCCUGACCACUAGUGAGUAGUUGUCACUGAACCAAGAAGUAUAUUAGCAGCUGGAUGCAUGAUUUAUUUUUAACAAAGACCCAAUGUAAGCAUUGGACUUAGGAUACGUAUCAUAUGACAGGAUUCUGUAAAGGAAUAUCCUGUUUUAUCCUAGAGGGUGUGUGUAACCUCAGUAGGAAUCUGGCAGAAAGCCAGGAAGAAAGCUUCAAGUACUGUAAUGCACUUGUCCUGCAGAGAUGAAGUCUUCCUUGUCCUCAAGGUGCAGCCAGGUGAAAGAACAAUCUCCUCCUCUCAUCAGCUGGGAUUUGCUGAGGCUUAGAGUUUAUUAGCUCUAGAGACCUGCUGAGAAGGGAAUCAUGAGCUCACCCAGAGGCAAGAAAGCAGAAAAAGUUUCUUGUGAAAAGAAAGUCAAGCUCUGUCAAAAUUGGUAAAAAAAAUGCAGCUCUGCUGCCCUCUCUCUAGGAUGGUGUGGGCUACUGGAAUCUCUGCUUCACACACUGCAUCUGUAAAAAGACUCCUUCAAUAAAAGGUGGAGGCAGCAAAAUUUCCUUCCCAACCUACAAGUUAGUUUUAUCAGUAGUCCAAUGGUUUCCAAAGGUUUAACACCUUUCUAUCUAAUAGGUAGGAUGCAAUUAGCUUCUACUUAAUUAAUUGAGCAUGUGUGAGUAAUCAUUUCAGACUUGUGAAGCCAAGAAUGCAGUGUAACAUCACUGGGGAUUUCCUAUGGUAGGAAGUGAUCUGACAUAGCCAGGAACUGAAGCCCUUUUUUAUUCUGCAGGAGAUGCCUUGGGUUCAGGGAUUUGGGGUAGCUGCUUUAUUUGUGAUACCUGAAACACUAAUUUUCAUCAUUUCUAUUUGCUAUGCACACUCAGAUUUAUAAAAUUUUUAUUUUACAUUGCUGAAAUGAUUUAUGUGAAUUUCAAGCAUUUAAAGAUGCUUGAAUUUCAAUCAUUUAAAGAUUUCAAUGUAUGAAAACCAUUAAAUAAAUCUAAAACUGAGAGAAACCACCAAACCUUCAGUGUAUAUUUUGAAAAUUUAAAUACUUACAUAGGAAUGAUACAUCUUGAGCAAAAAAUCACCUUCUCCCUAAAAUAAAAAUUAAUUGCUAAACUUCCUCUCUAAAAAUCAACUUUCAAAGGAAUGAUGAGGCCUACCAUAACACAAGUUCUGUGAAAGGAUCAGAACUAAUGUGUGCAUCCUGGGAAGCUUAAAAAAUGACCCCAGAAGACUGUCUAACAAGAUCUGGAAGGUGCAAACGUGAGAGUUAUAGGUGCUGAUAAAGCCUUUUGGUGAGCUGGGUGGUGAGCUGGGGAAUAUUAUGCUUCAUUGCUUGAGGAGUAGUUGUGGUUUGCACUCUCUGCAGUGUGCUGAGAGUCAGGCUCCUCUCUGCUGCUGACUGAAAUGCAUCAGACCCUGGGGUAUUUCAGUCAGCAGCACAGAGCAAGCCAUGCACAGUAUCUGUGGUGUACAUCAGGAUUUCAGUAAAUCUAGCUCUAUGUAUCUGCACACUGUAGACCACCUUUUAUGCGUGUUGUUAUUUGAGGAUGCUAAAAAGUAGGUGGCAUUUAGAUGUAGAUAUUCUUGGUUGGUUUAAAACCAUCCAUUUCUAAGUUAUCAUGGUAGUAGUUAGGAGACAAAAAAAAAAAGAUAAGAGAAUAAAAAAGAGACAUUUUUGGCUUCUCGACAGACACAGACAAUGGAAAGAGAGCAGCUCGCUCAGCUUGCUGCCUUCUGAUGCUUUACAGGAUGAUUCACGCUCUGCAGGGCUUAAAGGCUUAUGUGCCCAUGUGUGGUUAUGCAUGGAAACCUCAGGAUGGUCUCUGCCAUCAGUGGGAUCACUUGUACAAUAAUGUACUUUGUUCAGGAUACAUCAGUGACCAUUUGUGACCAUUAAAACAAAGGGAUAUGGGCAGAACAGUUUGACUACUAAAGAUAAAUAAGGGGCUAUGAAUGAAGAGAGGUUGAGACUGAAGGGAAAGAUUUCUGAACCGUGUCAAGAUCAGUCUCCUAGUUAGUGUAAAUAAGUGAGAGAAGAAAAGAACAUGAACUGAAAACACUUCACUCAUUGGCUACUUAUUACUACAAAAGACCAGUGCUGGGAACUGGUAAUGUAGAUCAGCUUCAGUAUACUGUUAUCUCUUCCCAAAUCUCUUCAAUACUGUUAUCUCUUCCCAAAGGAAACUCCCCUUGGCCUUGGAGAUUUUAUCAGAGGGUGCAAUGUUCUUGCUUAUAAUUUUGUCAUAUCAAAGGCCUUGCUUUUGUUUCCUUGGUUUAUGCAUAGAUCGUACCUGUGGCAAUGUCUGCAUAUAACAAAAUAUUUAUGUGAUCCAAAGAAGAGAAAAGGAAUUUAACACAGGAAUAAAUUGUAUAUUUAAUGGACUAG